GCCGGGGUGGCUCAGCUGGCGGAGCGUCGGACUCAUAAUCCGAAGGUCGCGGGUUCAAGUCCCGUCCCCGGCACCA
rnacentral:tRNA from 1 species